UUUGAGAUUGAUUGGAAGGAUCGAAAAAAGCUAAGGAAACUAUUCUGUCAAAGUCCAUCGUCUUCAUACAUGGAUGUCGGUCUAUCAACUUCUUACAUACAUGGACACGAACGUGGCCAUGGAAAAUAUAACGAAUAUUUGUACUAUGAAACACCCGCAGAGGUAUCAGAUCUACAAGAGUACCAACAAGAAUCAAAAAACCAAGAGGAGCCAAAACAACAUAGAGUUUAGAGUCGACGGCGACAACUAGCUCGAAAUCCACGCUGUCUAGGUUGUGAAACACAUUGAUUUUCUUUGAUCAUUUAAAUGAAUGUAAUUUGGUUAUUAAAAAAUAUUUUAAUUUACAUUUAAUUUUU